rnacentral:rRNA from 1 species
UACGUAGGGAGCAAGCGUUUGUUCGGAUUCAUUGGGCGUAAAGGGUGUGUAGGUGGCGCCGUAAGUCGGGUGUGAAAUUUCGGAGCUUAACUCCGAAACUGCAUUCGAUACUGCGGUGCUUGAGGACUGGAGAGGAGACUGGAAUUCAUGGUGUAGCAGUGAAAAUGCGUAGAGAUCAUGAGGAAGACCAGUGGCGAAGGCGGGUCUCUGGACAGUUCCUGACACUGAGACACGAAGGCCAGGGGGAGCAAAACGGGG